AGUGUACGCUGGCGGUAGGCCUAACACAUGCAAGUCGAACGGCAGCACAGUAAGAGCUUGCUCUUACGGGUGGCGAGUGGCGGACGGGUGAGGAAUACAUCGGAAUCUACUUUUUCGUGGGGGAUAACGUAGGGAAACUUACGCUAAUACCGCAUACGACCUACGGGUGAAAGCAGGGGAUCUUCGGACCUUGCGCGAUUGAAUGAGCCGAUGUCGGAUUAGCUAGUUGGCGGGGUAAAGGCCCACCAAGGCGACGAUCCGUAGCUGGUCUGAGAGGAUGAUCAGCCACACUGGAACUGAGACACGGUCCAGACUCCUACGGGAGGCAGCAGUGGGGAAUAUUGGACAGUGGGCGCAAGCCUGAUCCAGCCAUACCGCGUGGGUGAAGAAGGCCUUCGGGUUGUAAAGCCCUUUUGUUGGGAAAGAAAAGCAGCAGGUUAAUACCCCGCUGUUCUGACGGUACCCAAAGAAUAAGCACCGGCUAACUUCGU
rnacentral:rRNA from 1 species